AUUCAGUGGCGUAGCCAAGGAGGGGCGACCGCCCCCCAAUCGCCACAAAAACCAUUCUCUCAAAAGGCUAAAUCCAUAGAGAAAUUGCCCCCCCCCAUUUCUCUGUGGAUUUAGGCCUUUUGAGAGAAUGGUUUUUGUGGCGAUUGGGGGGCGGUCGCCCCUCCUUGGCUACGCCACUGAAUUA